CCGCGCCCAGCCAAAAGGAGGAAUUUUUUUAAGCAAAAUUAUGGGAGGCCAUUGUUUUGAACUAAACUCAUGCAAUAGGUCCCAACAGACCAAACCAAACCAAAAUGGAGUCACUCAUGCUAAAUGUAACAUAAUCAAACUAAGACUUUAAGGAAACACAUAAAUCCUAGAACAAACUAGGUUUUGUUUUUCUCCUGUAAACAGGAUGUUCCAGCAUAAGAAGAUACCUUCUACUCAAGUCCUUGUUCCACCUUUUCAAAUCUCACUGGUCUAUUUCCCAGUGGGUUUCUAAACCAAACACCCAUAAACUCAGAAAAUACAGUGUAAAACAAAGUGAAGAACAAGUAAACAACUCACCAGAUAUUUAUUCGUUUCUUGUUGCUCUUGGAAACACCCAGAGGACACUGGAAACAUAGCUGGGAUAGAAGGCAAAUGACGUGGAUUAAGGAGAGAACUGGUGUGGUGUGGUCCCAGAUUCUUCUGCCCAAUGCUCUAGACACAUUACCUGGGAAAGCCCUCCUCCCUCCUGAAAAAGAAAAACUUCCCCGUGGGAGAAGAGUCCUUCACGCCUCAUUAGGGGCAGCAGAGGCUCAAGUUAAGAUAAGAUACAUAGACAAGUACAUUAAUUGGUAGACAUUAGAUGCACAAUUUAUUUUUGAAUAAAAAUAUGUAUUACCUACUAAUUUAGUAACAAUAUUAUCUAAAGAUAUAAUCUAAUAAUUUAAUACAAAGAAACAUUAUAAGUUCACUAAAAUAAAUGUUAUAGAAAUAUACUGGGCUGUAUUAACUAUUUUCCUAUUAAUAUGUAGAUUCCACAAAUAACUUCAUAUGAGUGUUCCCAUGACAGUACCUCUUGCUUUUCUAUACCUGAACAUCGUGGAAAGUGCAUCUUGCAAACCAGCAAUUUUGGCCUACAAUUACGUUUUUUAAAAUGUACAUAAUAUGUAUUUCCUGCAGUACACCAUUCUACUCAUGUUUCCCAAUAACACCUUUCCUUCUAUCCAAGCCCUCAUAUUAUGCUCUGACAAUAAAUUGGGCUUUUCCAUCUGACUUGUCCAGUGAAUGGACAAUGGAAAAUGUGAUGCAAAUAUCCAUUGGUUCUUCCCUUUUUGGGAGAAAUUUUGAAGAGGUCUGGAGCUACCCUGUUGGAGACACAGGGCCUAGCCAAGAGUCACCACAAACCACCAGAUUGUGAAGGAAACUAUCUUAAACCAACCAGGCUCAGUCAACGCACCAGGUGACUAAGGCCUUUUUGUAAUCCAGGCAACACAAAUAUAUCAACUACCCAGCUGAAUCCACCACACCAAAGUGCAGAUCCACAGAACUUCAUACAAAUAAAAUGGUGAUUGUUUUUUAUAAGCCAGUAAGGUUUAAUUAGUUCCUUAAACAGCAAGUAUUAACUGUUACACCUAAGUGAACAGAAUUCACUUCUGUGUUUUUAACAAAAUUAUGUAGGGGGAGAAAAUCUUAAAUUACAAAUCAAAUACAAUCAAUAGAACUUCGCAAUCUAAUGCUAAAUUUGGGGAUGGACUAGGUUUAAUAUAUCUCAGACGCGAAAAAACGAGCUAAGAUUGAAGGAAUGGGACUGUGUUUGGAGAGUAUUUUAAUCCUCUCAAGUAUGACAGGUCACUGCUGUACCCCAGACCACACUUUCAGGCCCCUUCAAAUAAGGAAUAUUUCCUAAGUCCUUGCCUGUUCUUCUCAGCUGAAUUCACCUCAACCUUCUGAAAGUUCGUCCAAACCUUCUACUAUCACCUAGUCUUUGCAAAUCUUGUGCAUUCUAGGGAGUAGAAUUAAUAUUUCCUGAGCAAGGAAAACUGGGAUCUUCACCUGUGACCUUUUUUCCUCCUCUGAAGCACCAGUGAGAGGUUAGACCAGAUGGCUGUUCUUUCAAGUGUGCUUCUUAUUCAUAGGGAACCCUCCCUUUCAAACUUUGUAACACACAGUUAAGACUGAAGUACCCUUAAGGCUGACGACCAUCAUCUAUUAUGCCAUCUCCCUUGUGGAAUCAGUGAGUUCUUCCCUGGAAACUAGGUCUCGUAUAAACUUCUGUAAAUGCGACCCAGGAGGACUAGGCAGGUCACACAGUGAAGGAGGGAACCAGAAACUUCACUUGCUAAAGAGACACCAGGAAACCCAACUAAUACAAACACCAAGUUUAAGACUAGCGGCGCACGCGUUUCACACUACUCCUCUGGGAAUGGGGAAAGUCUCCUGAGAACUGUGUGUUAGCACUGGGACAGAUGGGCAAACUGAGCAUCAUGCUGGUUGGUAACCGUGUCCCUCAGCGGCAGGACAGGAGCGCGGCCUGCAGACUCUGGGCCUAGGGCCACUGGCCUCUCCUACCCGCUCCUGUGCCUCUAGAACCCGCUUCACUGCUGGGACCCCACGCCUGUCCUCCCAGCCUCCGCCUGGGUCCGUGGCCCGCACCUGCUCUUCAGGCCCUGCCCUCCCGCGAUUCGCCCAUGCGUCUGCUUCCACAACUAGGGAACACUGGUCCGGCCCCCUGGGAUUCCCUGAGGCCUACGGGUUCCUCUUGGCCCUUGCACCGACCCACAGGGACAUAGAACCAAGCCCCAAGCCGGCCCAGCUACAGGACCGACUCUGGGUGCCACACUUCCGGAGGAAAAUGGCGG
rnacentral:lncRNA from 1 species